GUGCUCACCUCAGUAGCACAUACACUAAAAUUGGAAUGACACACAGAACAUUAGCAUGGCCCCUGUGCAAGGAUGACACGCAAGUUCGUGGAGCAUUCCAAAUUUUG